AGGUUUCCGGUAACUUCACAAAGGAGAUUAAUGUAUAGAAGUUCCUGGAUCAAGACCUAUGUGGUAGUGCACUGGAGCAAUUCAGGUGUGAAGUAAGCUCUUUCAGAUGUGCAAAUAUAUUGGAAUCGAGAAAGACAAAAAAAAGGA